rnacentral:rRNA from 1 species
CGAUACUGCCGGGCUUGGGGGCGGGAGAGGCCGAGGGUACUCCCGGAGUAGGGGCGAAAUCCGUAGAUCCCCGGGAGGACCACCAGUGGCGAAGGCGCCCCGCUAGAACGCGCCCGACGGUGAGAGGCGAAAGCCGGGGCAGCAAAAGGGAUUAGAUACCCCUGUAGUCCCAGCUGUAAACGAUGCGGGCUAGCUGUUGGGCGGGCUUAGAGCCCGCCCAGAGGCGGAGGGAAGCCGUUAAGCCCGCCGCCUGGGGAGUACGGCCGCAAGGCUGAAACUUAAAGGAAUUGGCGGGGGGGCACCACAAGGGGUGAAGCUUGCGGCUUAAUUGGAGUCAACGCCGGAAACCUUACCCGGGGCGACAGCAGGAUGAUGGCCAGGCUAACGACCUUGCCGGACGAGCUGAGAGGAGGUGCAUGGCCGUCGUCAGCUCGUGCCGUGAGGUGUCCGGUUAAGUCCGGCAACGAGCGAGACCC